GACGAACGCUGGCGGCACGCCUAACACAUGCAAGUCGAACGAAGUGUGAGGAAGCUUGCUUCCAAUCACUUAGUGGCGGACGGGUGAGUAACACGUGAGCAACCUGCCUCUUGGUUUGGGAUACCGUUUGGAAACGAACGUUAAUACCGAAUAAUAUAGCGGAUUCGCAUGUUUCUGCUAUCAAAGAUUUAUUGCCAAGAGAUGGGCUCGCGUCUGAUUAGAUAGUUGGUGAGGUAACGGCCCACCAAGUCGACGAUCAGUAGCCGGACUGAGAGGUUGAACGGCCACAUUGGAACUGAGAUACGGUCCAGACUCCUACGGGAGGCAGCAGUGGGGAAUAUUGGGCAAUGGGCGAAAGCCUGACCCAGCGACGCCGCGUGAGGGAAGAAGGUCUUCGGGAUUGUAAACCUUGUUGAUGGGGAAGAGAAAGUGACGGUACCCAUCGAGGAAGCCACGGCUAACUACGUG
rnacentral:rRNA from 1 species